CAGGGCUUUGCCACCUGCAUAACAUCUGGUUUGAACUAGGAGUUCUAUGCCCUAGCCCCACUCUCAUCAACUCUCCCACAAAAUUAUCCUUUGAACAAGAGCUUGCCACCCCAUCACAACCAGCAGAGCGGAAGUCCACUGUACAAAGACACCCAGUAAAAGACAAAGACCUCUGAGUGGACAGCACUGGCUACCAGUUAAUGGGCUUCUUAGGAAAAGGAAGUAAAGACUGAUGACCCCACAAAGAGAGCUUCUACCUCAAGAAGUCUGAUGUCUGCAUAGGGGAGACAUGCAUACCAAUAAAAAGCUCUGGGCAGAACCUGUUAUAAAGAUAUAAAAUGUGCCCAAGAGCAUGAAGAAAGCAUCAUUCUCACCUUCACAGUGUAGUAGUCCAAGUGGUCUACUAGGGAGACAAAUAUUUCUGCACGAGUGAUAGUCCCCACCAGACUCUAAACAGCUUUGUGGCAUUGCCCUUCAUACUUUCUCUCAGAAAAGAGAAAUAAAAGGCUUCCCAG
rnacentral:lncRNA from 1 species